UACGUAGGGUGCAAGCGUUGUCCGGAAUUAUUGGGCGUAAAGAGCUCGUAGGCGGUUUGUCGCGUCUGCUGUGAAAUCUCCACGCUUAACGUGGAGCGUGCGGUCGAUACGGGCAGACUUGAGUUCGGUAGGGGAGACUGGAAGUUCCUGGUGUAGCGGUGAAAUGACGCAGAUAUCAGGAGGAACACCGGUGGCGAAGGCGGGUCUCUGGGCAACAACUGACGCUGGAGGAGCGAAAGCAUGGGGAGCGAACAGG
rnacentral:rRNA from 1 species